UAUAUUGACCACAGGACGCAGGGCUGGCGGUGACGGAUUUACUACGAGGAGCGAGGAGCGGUGAAGAGGAUGUUGAGCGAUUCGUUCUGCUUCCCGCAGUUUUUCCUUUCUGAGGAGGAGGAGGUGGUGGUAUGGUGAGAGGAUCCGCCUCUGGGGGGCGCCAUGCUCCCAUCGAGUGGCGUGAAGAGGAGAGCGAUGCUGGUACUGCUGCUGCUGCCCACUCAGCCUGCUGCAGAGAGAGCAGAGAGGAUGAAAGGAUGGAGAGAGGAGAAGGCAGAGCAGCAACAGAAGCAGCUUCAGCUUCUCCAUCAACACACAAACACAGAGUCACUGUUCAAUACCAGCGAAGGCACACUGCGGCCUCCAGUCACUGCUCAUUGUACUGUGACAAGACCACAGGACCAAAGCUGCUACAACAGAGGCAGAGGAAAUGAGAGGAGACAAAAGCAGAAGCCGCUCUCGCCACCUUGGCCCUUGUCCUCGCCAUGAUCGCUCAGAAAUGAGUCUGUCGAGUGGAUGGUUUCGUCGGAGUUGUUUUAUCGAACUCACAGUGUAAUGAGUGUGUUUGUCUUCUGAGAGCUGCAGCACUUGCUUUCUCCUCUACUUAGCAUUUGAAUCACUGACUCUAUGGAAGACAGGAAGCAGCAGGUGGUCAGCAUCGUGAGCCAGGGACGAACGUAUGAGAUUUAAUCUGUGUACAGGAUAAAUAAACGGAGACAAGCUGCAGGCACACCUGAAACAGUUAAU